UACGAAGGGGGCUAGCGUUGCUCGGAAUUACUGGGCGUAAAGCGCACGUAGGCGGUCUUUUAAGUCGGUGGUGAAAUCCUGGAGCUCAACUCCAGAACUGCCUUCGAUACUGGAAGUCUUGAGUCCGGGAGAGGUGAGUGGAACUGCGAGUGUAGAGGUGAAAUUCGUAGAUAUUCGCAAGAACACCAGUGGCGAAGGCGGCUCACUGGCCCGGUACUGACGCUGAGGUGCGAAAGCGUGGGGAGCAAACAGG
rnacentral:rRNA from 1 species